GACCACUGUUGUCUCAUCAUCCCUCCACUGUGCCCACCCCCCUCCCUUUUGAAAAGCCUAGCUCCAUCUUCUCCAUGAUCUCCUCAACAGAUACAAACAGCUGCCAUCAGAUCUCAAGCUGGUUUCUCCUCUAGGCCAGACAAAACCACCUUUCUCAAUAUCUCCUCAUGGAGCCCAGCCCCUAGACAGGAUGGUGACCCUCCAGAGGUUGAUAUUUUAGAAAGGAGAUUUGACAUGUGUCUUUUUCCACUUGCCAUGGUCUUCCACCAAUCUCCAUGACCUUCUGAAGACAACAGUGGCCUUGACAGGACAUCAGGAAGUUCUCAGCACUGUGCAUGCACUUUGUCAGGUCCCAUUGACUUGUACAAGUCAAAUACAACCUAUCUCCAACUUGGCCUUCAUCCAUUGCUGGCCUGAUGGAGCAGUGAAGAGGUGGAAAGCUGAUUUAAAUUCGCCUGACAGACCCAAGAGCAAUUACCAGAGCCCAUCAAGGCUUUUCUCAACUGAGCAAAGCACGAAGAGGGUAUUUUGACAAUGUGCCAUAGGCAGACACGGCCCUGCUUUAUGUUACUGUGUGAAUAAAUAGUGCCUGGCUGUGUCAUGAGUUUAUACAGAGAUCUGAGGAUCUGUUGAGGAUCUGCCAUCUAAGAGUUUCUUUUACUUCUCUGAACGGCAUAACAAAUUAAAUGAAGUGUGCUCUCCGCAGCACACGGCUUUAUUGUGCCAUAAUAGGAAAUAGAGUAGGACAAAACAGUUAAAAACCUUGAAAAAAAACAACAGGCAAGAUGGAAGCCAUGCAGGGGACAAAUCAGGGCUGAGCCAGAGCAGCCCCUUUUCAUACUGGGGAGACAUGCAGCUGCUUUCAGGUGCCAGAAGGAUACCAGCUCUGGGCAUUUUUAACACAUCUAACAUACAGAAGGUGGAAGUCCCACAGGUGAUCUUUCCUUGCUGGAAAA